rnacentral:rRNA from 1 species
GGGUGAGUAACGCGUGAGCAACCUGCCUAUCAGAGGGGGAUAACACAUCGAAAGAUGUGCUAAUACCGCAUGACAACCAAAUGUCGCAUGGCAAAUGGUUCAAAGGAGCAAUCCGCUGAUAGAUGGGCUCGCGUCUGAUUAGCUAGUUGGUGGGGUAAAGGCCUACCAAGGCGACGAUCAGUAGCCGACCUGAGAGGGUGAUCGGCCACAUUGGGACUGAGACACGGCCCAGACUCCUACGGGAGGCAGCAGUGGGGAAUAUUGCGCAAUGGGGGAAACCCUGACGCAGCAACGCCGCGUGAAGGAUGAAGGUCUUCGGAUCGUAAACUUCUGUCUUCUGGGAAGACUAAAGACGGUACCAGAGGAGGAAGCCACGGCUAACUACGUGCCAGCAGCCGCGGUAAUACGUAGGUGGCGAGCGUUGUCCGGAAUUACUGGGUGUAAAGGGCGUGUAGGCGGGUAUGCAAGUCAGAUGUGAAAUACCGGGGCUCAACUCCGGGGCUGCAUUUGAAACUGUAUAUCUUGAGUGCAGGAGAGGAAAGUGGAAUUCCUAGUGUAGCGGUGAAAUGCGUAGAUAUUAGGAGGAACACCAGUGGCGAAGGCGACUUUCUGGACUGUAACUGACGCUGAGGCGCGAAAGCGUGGGGAGCGAACAGGAUUAGAUACCCUGGUAGUCCACGCCGUAAACGAUGGAUACUAGGUGUAGGAGGUAUCGACCCCUUCUGUGCCGGAGUUAACACAAUAAGUAUCCCACCU